UACAGAGGUCUCAAGCGUUGUUCGGAUUCAUUGGGCGUAAGGGUGCGUAGGCGGCGCGGUAAGUCGGGUGUGAAAUCUUGGAGCUUAACUCCGAAACUGCAUUCGAUACUGCCGUGCUUGAGGACUGGAGAGGAGACUGGAAUUUACGGUGUAGCGGUGAAAUGCGUAGAGAUCGUGAGGAAGACCCGUGGCGAAGGCGGAUCUCUGGACGGCUAACUGACGCUGAGGCGCGAAGGCCAGGGGAGCAAACGGG
rnacentral:rRNA from 1 species